GCCAGAGUCAUGGCGCAAGGAGAC
rnacentral:siRNA from 1 species